GACAGAGGAUGCAAGCGUUAUCCGGAAUGAUUGGGCGUAAAGCGUCUGUAGGUGGCUUUUUAAGUCCGCCGUCAAAUCCCAGGGCUCAACCCUGGACAGGCGGUGGAAAACUACCAAGCUGGAGUACGGUAGGGGCAGAGGGAAAUUUCCGGUGGAGCGGUGAAAUGUGUAGAGAUCGGAAAGAACACCAACGGCGAAAAGCACUCUGCUGGGCCGACACUGACACUGAGAGACGAAAGCUAGGGAGCGAAUGGG
rnacentral:rRNA from 1 species